GAUGAACGCUGGCGGUGUGCCUAAUACAUGCAAGUCGUACGCAUUCCCGCUUUUGAUUGAAGGUGCUUGCACCUGAUUGAUAAAACAUCGGAAUGAGUGGCGGACGGGUGAGUAACACGUGGGUAACCUGCCCAGAAGUGGGGAGUAACAAUUUGGUAAACGAAGAUGCUAAUAACCGCCAUAAUAAGAUAGAACCAACCAUGGUUCGUUAUUUUGUUAAAGAAUGGCCGUUUCGUUG
rnacentral:rRNA from 1 species